GACGAACGCUGGCGGCGUGCUUAACACAUGCAAGUCGAAUGAUGAACCCGGAGCUUGCUCCGGUGGAUUAGUGGCGAACGGGUGAGUAACACGUGAGUAACCUGCCCUUGACUCUGGGAUAACUGCGGGAAACUGUAGCUAAUACCGGAUACGACCCUCGGCGGCAUCGCCAGGGGGUGGAAAGAAUUUCGGUCAAGGAUGGACUCGCGGCCUAUCAGCUAGUUGGUGAGGUAACGGCUCACCAAGGCGACGACGGGUAGCCGGCCUGAGAGGGUGCCCGGCCACACUGGGACUGAGACACGGCCCAGACUCCUACGGGAGGCAGCAGUGGGGAAUAUUGCACAAUGGGCGCAAGCCUGAUGCAGCAACGCCGCGUGAGGGAUGACGGCCUUCGGGUUGUAAACCUCUUUUAGUAGGGAAGAAGCGAAAGUGACGGUACCUGCAGAAAAAGCACCGGCUAACUACGUGCCAGCAGCCGCCGUAA
rnacentral:rRNA from 1 species